AUUGAACGCUGGCGGCAGGCCUAACACAUGCAAGUCGAGCGAGCGGCGGACGGGUGAGUAAUGUAUGGGGACUGCCCAAUAGAGGGGGAUAAUUACUGGAAACGGUGGCUAAUACCGCAUCCUAUCGGAUAACCCAUAUGGGAUUAGCUAGUAGGUGGGGUAAAGGCUCACCUCGGCGACGAUCUCUAGCUGGUCUGAGAGGUUGAUCAGCCACGCGGGAGCUGAGAGACGGCCCAGACUCCUACGGUGGCAGCAGUGGGGAAUAUGGCACAAUGGGCGCAAGCCUGGUGCAGCCAUGCCGCGUGUAUGAAGAAGGCCUUAGGGUUGUAAAGUACUUUCAGCGGGGAGGCGAUACCCGAAGAAGAAGCACCGGCUAACUCCGUGCCAGCAGCCGCGGUAAUUC
rnacentral:rRNA from 1 species